rnacentral:rRNA from 1 species
GGGGGGCACAGUAGGGAAUCUUCCACAAUGGACGCAAGUCUGAUGGAGCAACGCCGCGUGAGUGAAGAAGGUUUUCGGAUCGUAAAGCUCUGUUGUUGGUGAAGAAGGACAUGGGUAGUAACUGAUCUAUGUUUGACGGUAAUCAACCAGAAAGUCACGGCUAACUACGUGCCAGCAGCCGCGGUAAUACGUAGGUGGCAAGCGUUGUCCGGAUUUAUUGGGCGUAAAGCGAACGCAGGCGGGAGAACAAGUCAGCUGUGAAAGCCCUCGGCUUAACCGAGGAACGGCAACUGAAACUGUUUUUCUUGAGUGCAGAAGAGGAGAGUGGAACUCCAUGUGUAGCGGUGAAAUGCGUAGAUAUAUGGAAGAACACCAGUGGCGAAGGCGGCUCUCUGGUCUGUAACUGACGCUGAGGUUCGAAAGCAUGGGUAGCGAACAGGAUUAGAUACCCUGGUAGUCCAUGCCGUAAACGAUGAGUGCUAAGUGUUGGGAGGUUUCCGCCUCUCAGUGCUGCAGCUAACGCAUAAGCACUCCGCCUGGG